rnacentral:tRNA from 1 species
GCCCCUGUAGCUCAGCAGGAUAGAGCACCGGAUUCCUAAUCCGUAGGUCGUGCGUUCCAAUCGCAUCAGGGGCACCA